AGUUAAUUCGCAUAGUACAACACAUUAAGGACAGAGGUCCUACAUGGGGAGCAGGUGCACAGUGACUCCCAUUGUUGAUUUAACAAUUGACACUCUUAUUUAUGAUGUCAGUAAUCACCCAAGGCUCUUGUCAUGAGCUGCCAAGGCUAUGGAAGCCUCUUGAGUUCACCAACUCCGAUCUUAUUUAGACAAGGCCAUAGUUGAAGUGGAAGUUCUUUCCUCCUUUCAGAGAAAGGUAUCUCCUUCUUUAAUGGCCCGUUCUUUCCGCUGGGAUCUCACUCACCAAGUUUUCUUUUUAAUUUCAGGCACAUGCAACUAAGAUAUGUGUCUCAUUUACCAGUUUCUCAAAUAAGUGCAUGGCAGACAAAUCUGGAGUCAGCCAUGGUUGAGACCUGGUCAGGCAGAAGUGGAAACAAUGGCUAUGAAUAGCAGAGGUCAUUGACUCAUGAGCAGGAAGGUUCAGUUUUAAUACAGAGUGAGUGUGAAAAGCAGAGCCAGUUUCAAUCUGGAAAGCUUGGGGAUGUGUUCCUUUGCAAUAGAGAAGCAUCCUGUCAUCAUAACAAGAAACCCACGAUAUUGACUGGCAUGGAAAAUACAAGGGCAGAUGAACAUUCCUAAGAACAGCAUGCCCUAGAAACCAGCAGUAGAUGCCAAUCACAUUGUAAGCCCCAAGUACCUCUCAGGGUAGGUAUUUCAUGGUAGGAGCUAAAGCCCAUAACUUAUGAAAUUUUUAGAUAAUAGUAAAACCAUGAGGACUGGUUUAUGAGACACUCUAAGGAAUUUGAAAACUGCUAUUGUUCACAAUUUGUGUGGGUGUUUGUGAUACACACUCUCCCAUCUUUCUCAACUUUGUAUAGCAAGAGAUCUUGGUUAGUGUUGUGAGAAGAGUGAGUUGGUAGUGGAAGACAUCAUUUAUCUUUAUCCACAAAAUCAAACCAUCCUGAAAAUGUUCUUGGAUGGCUAUGCCAGGGCUGUAUUUUUCCAUCACUUUCUAACUUACUCUUCCUUUUUUCCAAUCCUCUUUCUCCCCUAGCUGUACCAGACAUGUUUCAUGUUACUUUAGUGCUCACAAGCAUUUGUGGUUCCCAUUAUCUACGUAGAGAAGUUCACUCUCUCCCCCGACACACAUCCUCUUUGAAAAAUGUAAGCCAUUCAGAAAGUAAGUCUUAAUCUUAAUCUCAUCUUGCACUUUGCCUUUGUAUGUGUUUUCCUCUCCUACCACUUGGUUCUCUUGGAAGGACCCUGAAUACACUACACCAUAGCAUGCUGUUUGAAGCCGCUUCCCAGUAUUUAAUCCCCGUUUACGGUUGACAGACUGUUCAUGGCCCAAUUAAAGUUCCUUCUCCGUUCUUAAAGUCUUUUCAGUCUACAGUGAUAUUUUCCCCUAGGAACUAUUAUGACUUCUCCCCCUAAAUUGAUGGCCUACAGUCUCAUGUAGGGAGAUAACAUGUAUAAUUUCUUAGCAUUCUACAGGAAAGGAAAGAAUAAAAAUAACUAUCUUAUACUGUUAUUUAAUUUUGAGUAUGUGUAUGUUUCAUUUCCUUAGUAAGGUUAUAAAUGUUUUGAACUUUUGUCUAUCUUAUUUUAUUUGCAAACUCCACAGUGCAGUGUACAGCCAUGUAAAUACUUGCUAAAUAGCAAAUUCAUUCUCAACGACAGUGAUUUUCUUUUUGGAAACCCUAGAGGUGCCCCCACAUACUUUCAGGGGAUCUGAAAUUUUCAUGAUAAUACUAAGAUAUUAUUUUCCCUUUUCACAUUUAUCACAUGUCCUAUAGAGCUUUCCAGAGGCUAUAUAAGUAGUAACAUUGUAGCAGACUACCUGUGUAAGCAGAUGUGAGAAACCAGUUAUCUUUUCCUAUGAAACAUUUAACAGAUUGGUAAAAAUGCAAAGUAACACUUUUCUCACUGAAUUUUUGAGUUUGAAAAUAUAGUAAUUUUUCAUAAAUAUGUCAUUCACAGUGACAGUGACAUGUAAUGGAUUUAUCAUGGUUAUUUUAAUUUGAAUAAAUAAGUAAUGAGUAAAUAUAUACUUUAUAAAUUCUCAAUUGGAAUUUAGAUUUUAUUAAAUAUAGAUAAAUAUAAACCACACCAAAAAAAAAAAAACCCUAUGGAUUCAGUGGCAAAUUCUUUUAUAAGCAGCUAACUUUUUUUUUUAAAUUUUGUUUACUUAUUUUCAUCUACUUGAAAGGCAGAACAACAGAGAGAGAGAAAAAUCUUCUAUCUACCGGUUCACUCCCUAAAUGGCCACAACAGACAGGGCUGGGCCAGGCCAAAGGCGGGAGACAAAAAUUCCACUCAGUUCUCCCAUGUGAAUGGCAGGGAUCCAAGUACUUGGGCCAUCAUCCUCUGCCUCCCAGGCUCGUUAGGAGGAACUUAGAUCAGAAGUGGUGGAGCUGAUACUGCUAUGUGGGAUGAGGAUGUCCCAAGAGGCAACUGAACCCACUGCAGCUCAGUUCCCACCACCAGUAAUUCCUAAGAGUGCAGAAGGUCCUGAAUCUACAGUGUGAAGACUUGCUGCUCAAGCAGAGUUCGUGUUUCUCUGUGAAAGUUCAAGUCAGGGAGUGGAUAACAUGAGCCCUGGCAAAGUGAAAGGGCUGAGGGAGACAUCACCACGCCUGUGACUAGAGACUGGAGAUGCCCAGGACAGAAACUGCAGCGUGUUUCCUGUGAUGGACGUGACUUGGCGGUUGAAAUGUCUUAUCUUCAGGGAAGUUGGUUCAGGUAUUUCUUCAACAAUAACAUGCCCUCACCUUGUUCAACUCCAUGCUAUGUAUUUUAGCUCUUCCCAUGAAUUAGAAAUUGACAUAAACGAUUGUCUAAAGUCAGAAGUUCCUUAUUCUCAUCUUAUCUUACUCUUACCGAUAGUAGGCACGUUUCAUGUUCUUUCAUUUACCUGCAUCUUACGCCAUUUUGCAAUUUCAGAAGGUGAAGUACAGCACUAUGGAUUUCAAAACACUGACACUAAAAUACAAGAGCCUAAUGCCUGCGUAGUGAAGAAUAUGAGUGUAGCACUCUUCCAUAUUCCCUGCAUGUAUGAACUCUCUUAAUUCACUAGAAACUUUAUGGCAUAAAUAGUCCUAUUACUCCUGCUUCACACAUAAGGCAACUAAAGAAUGUGGAGAUUCAAUAGCUAACUGAAGUUACUCUCCUAAUAAAGAAUGCAGCCACAAUUCAUACAGGCAAUCUGCCUCUGGGGCACCUAGCAUAGAAUAGUACCUUGUCCAUUUUUUUAAAAAAUUAUUGUUCAUUGGAGAGACAGAGAGAAAGGGAGGGGGGAGAAGUCUCUUUUGCAGCUUGUUCACUCCCCAUUUGCACACAACAACCAGGGCUGGGCUAGGCCUAAGUCAGGGCUGGAACUCAAUCUAGGUCUGCCAUGUGAGUGACAAGGACUCCAGUAUUUGAAGCAUUACCUGCUGCCUGUCAUGGUACGCAUUAGCAGGAAGCUGGAAUAAGAAGAGGAUCCCGGAUGGAAGCCGGGAACUCUGAUAUGGGAUGCAAGAAUCCCAAGUCCCUUCUUCAGGCUGCAGCAAACACUCUGCUCUGCGAACUUUGUGAACACCUGGAGCCCCAUUUAGAGCUGCAGUUAUUUCUGAUGCUCUAAAUUGUAUGUGAGGCUAUGAAAUGUGAGACGUUAUGACUCAAUACUCGCAAGACAUUGUUGUAAUUGGUAAGCAAAGUUGAUGUGGAGGGAAGUGACAAGGAUGAAAAGUGCUGAGCUCAGAGAUGAUUGCAUCAUGUUCUGGCUGUGGAACUAAGGGUCCAGAAAGAUUAACAUGGAUAUCUAUUCUUUGACAGCUGCUGUAACGUCAAAUCUAGGUUCUAUCCCUGCCAGGACUUUGUUCUGGCACAGACUUUUCAUCCUCCUGGGAACAGAUGAUGGGUGGAAUCAUUUAGCAUAUAGGGUGUGACUUGCUUUUCUCACCAAAUGUUUAUUUGUGUAAUCAGCCCCACUCAUGCAAUUAAUUAUUUUGAAACAGUGUACCUAAAAAUCCUCAUCCAUCUAGCCUGUUCCUCUUGCACAAAGUUUACUCAAUGAAGAAACUGCUUUGAGUUUGUUGUAUUUUGGGCCUCAGAAAUCUAAUUGAGUAAUGCCAGGAGGUAACCAGAUGUGCAGGACCAGCAUUAGCAGUGUCCUUCCUGGUGGGCCUUCCCCUGUGAAGGUCUAAGGCCUAAGACACUUGAGCAUGCACAGUCUGUUGGUUCAAGGAACAUGAGGGGAUCCCUGUCUAGGACAGUGAGAAGGGCUCAUGGCUCUGGGUGGGGAGAGACACGCACUUUGUAACUUGUUCACUUCCUCUUUGUUUUCCAUGUUAAGAUUUUUAUGGAUAAACUCAGAGCUCCUAAUGAGUUGUCAAGCAUUGCAUAUUUCUACUUUCCAGCCAAGCUUUUGAGAUUUGUAAUGGGUGGUAUGUGUGAUUGAGGGGAAAAAACGAACAAACAGAAGAAAACCAGAAAAGAAAGCGGUUCAAUAUGGCAACAGAGCUCAGAUGGUAACAUGCAGAGGUAAGGGUGACCUCCAGUGCAAUUCAGGGUGAGUCCCAACACUGGGAAUGGUGAAGAAGCUUCUCAAUUCCAAGACAGGGGUUCUAUUCUUAAGAUCUAGGCUUCCAGGAUAAGAAAUGUAGGAGGAAACAGCCAGUAGAUACAUUUACGUGCUUGUAGGAGAUGCUUACCAAGACUGGCAUGCCUAGAAAACUUUAUUUAAAAUUUUUUUUUAUUCUGAAAGGCAGAGCUAUACAGAGAGAGGGGGAGUCGGAGAGAGAGAGAGAGGGAGAGAGUGAGAGAGAGAGAGAGAGGAAAAGACAAUCUUCCAUCCUCUUGUUCAUUUCCCAAAUGGCUGCAACAGCCAGGUCUGGGUAAAGCUGAAGUCAAGAGCCAAGACCUCCAUUCACAUUUCCCACAUGUUGGGUAGCAGGAGUUGAGCCAUCCUCCACUACCUUCCCAGGCACAUUAGCAGGAAACUGGAUUCAGAAGCAGAGCCGCCAGGACUUGGAUUGGCACUCUGACAUGGGAUGCAGGCAUUGAAAGUGGGGCUUAACACAAUGCACCACAAUGACAGCCCCCAGAACAUUUUCUGAUUAUAGCUUUCACAAAAAUAUUAUCUCUCUGCUUUACUAAUCAAUGCUAUGCCUGUACCAUUAAAUGGGUUUUAUGAUCUUUAUUAGAUAGGAUAUCUUUAUUAUAUAGGAUAUCUUAUUUGAGGCCUGCAUUGUGGCACCAUUGGAACACUGGCUCGAGUCUUGGCUUCAUACAUAUAGCAAUAUUUCUAAUUCAGCUUCCUGAUAAUGUGCCUGGGAAAGUAGUGGAAGACAAUCUACAUGCUUUAGUCCUUGCUACUUAAAUGAGAGACCCAAAUGGAGCUCUUGGUCCUGACGGGCCUGGCUCAGCUCUGGGUCGCGUUGUGAGCCAAAGGAUGAGAGAUCCUUUUCUCUCUCUGUCAGUCACUCUGUGCUCCAAAUUAUAAAUGAAUAAAUCUUUUAAAAAAGAAUAUCUUCAUUUGGGAAAGAUCUAUUCUUAGUUCAAUUUUAUAGGAAAGGAAUCUUUAAAGAAUGGAAAUUUCUCUGUAAGAUAAACAUGGAUACCAUGGCAGAUACUUCAUAAAUCAUCUCUCUCUAAUUUUGAAGAUUUAGUAAUUAUAGUCAAUCUAGUUUUCUUUUGGAAACAAAGUUAAUACUUGCAGAUAACCGUAAAAAGCUUAUUAGUCAAUAACCUCCCUAUGGUUUUACUCUGUUGUGACAUCAUCAUGGUUCAGGUCUGAGAGAAUAGUACAAUUAAUACUCAUAAACAUGAAAUGCAAACAUUUAUGCAUUUAUAUUGAGACAUGUCAUUCCUAAUUAAAAAUAUACAGCCUUAUUGAUAUUAUCAUUACCAGAAUAUUCAAGUAAUCUGUCAGUAUAGUUCAAGGGGUGAGAUUCACUUUUAUUUCUAGAAUAAAUUUAUAAGCACCCUUUAAUUAGUUACUUUCCUAAUUGCAAAUUCUAUCUUCUAUAUAUUUGAAAUAUUCCAUGAUGUUUUCAAAAACAACUACUAGUUGGAAAAAUACCACACUGUGUCUAGUUGGUAUUUAAAGCUUUUGUUAUUCUCUAUUCUCUCAUGAACUCAGCAACCCUAGUUGCUUAGCUACCCAGUCUACAUUUUUCUCUUGUUAACUUACCAAGUUGAAAUUCUCUUUUGUGACAUUCAACAUUUUUCUUAUGACUUUCAUAUUCUAGCUGAAAGUGAUUAUAUCUGCAUCUACUUAAAAUUGAGUCCUUAGAUUACUGUGCUUUUAAAUAUUUAACUAAGUUAUAAGCACAUAGCAUUCAGAAGGACCUUCUUUGAAGGAAUGAAAACUAACCGUUGGAAAAAUAAAUGUGAAUUUCUUUCUCAAAAAAUUUUGCUAUUUUAAUCAUUGCUCAUUCUUAGUACAAUGAUGCUUUUCCUCUGUACAUUGGUGAUGGUAAGCUGUUCCCAAGGUGUUUCCAACAUCUGGCUGAAAUUGUAUGUAGCACCUGAGAGGGUCUGGCUGGGGUCUUGGGCAGAGCUCUGAGCCUGAGCACAGAGUUUAGAAACUUCUCUGGAAGUGAGCUGAGGCCUACAGGUGCUUUUCUGUGAGGAAACAAAGCUUGGCUGAAGAUGUAGUGGAGGCAGAAACUUUGACAUAGGAACAGGCAGAGUAGCAGGCUGGCAUUUAAAAGCAGGCUGAGAUAGUCUGACAACAUAAAUGAGGGUCCUGUGCAUGAGAUGGGCCCAGACUAACUUAAAAGGAACUCCAUACAAGACAGCAGGACCUGUGAGUGGGACAAGCUGUAUGAAGCUUUCUGUGUGGCUGCCAGAAAUUGUGGUGUUACGUAGCACGGGUGACUGCACAGGGUGACCCUGCUGUGUCAUGCACUGUACCACUAUCACUGUCACUCCUCACGCUGUCCCAGAAGGACUUUUCCUUGUCCUACUGUAAGUUUAUUUUUGGAAUAUUCUUAUUCUUGGAAUAUACUUAUUCUUGGCAUAUACUUAUUCUUGGAAAAUAUAAAGCAAUAUUUAAUAGAUAUAAAUAUAUAAAUAUAUACACAUAUAUAAAGAAUUUGUGGAUAAUUUUUCAUAAUAUGCAUUUCUAUGAAAUUUUUGAGGAGAAAUGAGUAAACUGAAUAGGGAUAGUAUACAACCAUUGCAACCCAUUGACUUUCAGAAAUGACAAAGGAGUUGACAGUGAAUGGACAUUUCUCCCCUUAGAAACUCAGGAAGUAAGGUCAUGUAGCUGACAUGUCACAAAACCCAGGACAGAGUCUCUUUGGACUGGAAUGAAAAAAGACUAGGAGGAAGAGAUAAAAGAUCCUUGAGCCAAGGAAGUGCCUGGAGCUGGUGCCCAUCAGGCCUGGAGUAAGGUCUGAGCAUCAGCAUCCACUGAGGAAGGAAGCAGAUGAUACCGGGGACCAUCAUGCCUUGUUUUCACUCACAUGGAAUCAAGGUUUCAAUGCUAUUUAAAUUUAAAAGAUUGUUGUAGUGGGCACUGUACUUAUUGCUUAUUUAGUUUCUGAAAGUUUUUUUUUUUUUUUUUGCCUUUGCAACUUUAAGACACAUCGUCAAGGUAAAGAGGAAGAGUGGUUUGUUUAAAAUAAACAAGGUCAGGGAAGAGAUUGGGAAACAAUAAAGACUCUUCAUCAGGGCUGUGACUAAGGCAGUCACCCACGGAAGGUGAGAGGUGUUGGGAAGACGCCGCCGCCACGUUGGCAGACUCUGCAUGAGCUCAGAAAGGUGAUAGGGACCUGGCAAUGCGUGGGGAGGGAACGCCCUCCACCCAACCCUGAGAUACAAAUUUGUAAGGGAUCUAUUACCCAAAUAAAUUGUUGAUCCUUAAAGAUAAUCCCAGCUGAUUAAACGCUGGCUAAGAAAGAUAAGUGGCAAAAAGAAUGCUCUGUGAAGCCACACCUUUGACAUUGGAUUGUGUGUUUGAUAUAUUUUCACUCAUUCUAAGUUUGUGUCACUUGAAAUUUGGUGUUGAGAUAAUAAGAAACAAUUUCCUGAUAGCUAUAUUAAACUCAGUAAUCUUCUUCACCUUGCCUAAGUGAUUUAUUUCCAACUCAUUUGAUAGCUUUAGAGUCUUGUCUUCAAUGGCACAGUUUUAGAGUUUGUGGAGGAAAAGUUUUUUCUCCACACAAUUGUGGGGCUUUUUUUUUUUUUUUAAAAAAAUUAUAUAAUGAACCUUCUUUUCAAAUCCAUGCACAGCAGCCUCUUAUCUCAAAUAAUUCUCAGUUGGUCAUCACCUCCCAUAGAUUUUUUGUCUCAGAAGUCUUCCAUACAUUUGCUGAUUAACAGCCAAGUAGUUUCUGCCCACGCUCUGGCUCCCUAGCUAGCCUCUCAUUAUCUCCUUUUCUGGAAGAUUUGGAGGUUGUAAUUAUGACACUGCUACUACUCAAUUCUGCCAUUUUCUUGCCUUUUCUAAUCGCAAUGUCUGCUCAUUUGCUCACCAAUUAUUUUCCACCUCCAUCGUCCUUGGGAAGGCCAGGAUCAGGUAUGAAAUAUUAUAUAAUCACCCCCGCCCCAUGCUCAGAUUCUGCCUCUCUGGAUUCAAGCAACAUAAGACACAGGAGGGUAUGCCAUUACUGGUGUAUACUAUGUAAUUAGGGCUUGUCACCAUUCUUUAAACAACACAUUGUACAACCAUUUACAUACCAUUCACGUUGUAUUAAGUAUUGUACAUAUACUCGAGAUGACUUAAAGUAUAUGGGUAGAUGCAUUCUACGCAAAAACUACGUCAUUUUAUACAGAGGAUUUAAGCAUCUUCAGGUUUUGGUAACCCAUGUAAGUCCUGGAACCAAUCUCUGUGGAUACUGAAGAAAGACUGCAUAGGCUACCUGCACUUCCUGUGACUUGAGGAAGAGUGAGUCCCUAGGACGCUGAAGCCACACUGAAACAACAGGUGUGCCAUAAGCAGAUGAUCCCACUGAGCCUAUGACUCACAGAGAUUCAGGAUAUCUGUGGAAUUGUAGUACCAUCUUUUAGACUCGAUAUUUAGAGCCAACCCAUACCAUCUUCUGGAGUCAUUAAUAAUAGUUGUUCUCUGUGAUAUGAAGGUAAUUCUCUCCGUCAUGACACACCAAGACUAUAACCACUUCAGAAAUCUCAGACCAAAUGUGUAUAUUUUUGCGCAGUUUCUGAAUACUGGACUUUAUAGACCAUUUUUUUAAAGGAACAAAUUUCCUUGCUUGAUUAUGUGAACCACUUCCACAUAGGAAAAACUGAUAUUUCCAGAAAAUCAGAAUGCACAGUACCAAACCAGUCUUUAGGAGGAUUCACAGCAGAAGGAAAUGACUACAGGUGGGAUUUUCAAGACUUUAAAAUAUUGGCCAGAGUGGCUCCACUUCAUUACUGGCUGUUAUGCUAUAAUGGAUGGUAAAGAAGCAGGAACAUGGAGGAGAAACACAGACAAGAAAUUUUCUUAAUUUUUAUGAAUAAUCUAAGUGGCAUUAGAUUAACAUAUCAUCACACUUGAGCAUUAUUUCAGCAAUAACACAUUUUGAGAAAAUCUUUUUAUUGCUCACUAUAUAUAAUUUGUUCAUAUAAAAGCAUUAUCUUAGAAUGUUUGAGCUACAAGGAAAUCAAUAACCAUGUUUUUAAGAUUUACAAGAAAGUGGGCAGGAGCUGGCUUUGUGGCACGGGGGUUAAGUCACCACUUACAACAUAAGCAUCCCAUAUCGGAUUGCCAGUUUGAGACCUGGAUACUCUGCUUCCUACCCAGCUUCCUGAUAGUGUGCCUGGGAAGUCAGUGGAAGAUGACCCAAGUGCUUGGGAUCCUGCAGUCCACAUGGGAGACCCGAAUAGAGAUCCAGGCUGCUGGUUUCCGCCUGGCCCAGAUUGGGCUGCUGCAGUCAUUUGGAGAGACCCACAGGGAGGCAUCAAGAGCAUGUGUGUACAUAGCAGCAAAAAUAUGAAGAUGCAGCAAAAGGACAGUCCUAGGCAAGUCCUCAGAAGAUCGCCACAUUGUCACCUCUUGUCCUUGGACUUCCACCCUCCAGGCUGUGAGAACAGAAACCUGUACAUUUCACACCUGCAUCUGUGUUUUGUUUUUGUUUUUGUUUUGUUAUGAGAGCCUCCACAAACAUACUUAUAAGGUAUCCAACAAAUUUUUAUGUUUUUAAUCAGGUAGAAUUCUGUGAUGUAGAAAGAAGGCACCACUGUCUUAAACCUGUCCUAACUCUAUGUAUAUAUUUACUGACCACUUAACACAACCUGCAUGGCUUGGAGGGAGGUUGCUUGAAGGGUGGGAGAGCAGAUUAGGUGAAUCCUCUCCUUUAUAAAGCUUUGCUGUUUAUUGUGUGUUGGGUCUGCUCUUCAUGGAACAGGAGUAGCUAUUUUAUCACUUCUAAUAAUUACUAUUUAAGAGUUUCGUUUCCAUGAAAUCGGCAUUUGCUAGAAACAUAUCAAACACAAACAUGGAUUUGAUUUUACAAAUAAAGAAAACUUGCAUCAGAAAGGUGUGAAAACUUUAAGGCACAGUUAAUGAGAAAUCACUUUAUAUCUGUGAUGAUCGGUACAUCAGAACAGGGACUAAUGAGUGUAUUUGUGUGUGUUGGAUGGGAUAUAGCAAUAUUGGAUAAGGCCUGUGUAUGAGUUGUUUAUGAUGUGAUAUGAAGAGAAAAAUGAAAAUUAAAACAUUACCUAUAUUAGGCCGCUUGAGCAGAAAACUACAAAUAUUGUGUCUUAUCACAGACCAUGCAAGAAAACUAGCUGUUCAUCCCCUAGGGCAGAAAGCUCAAGGCUCAGAGUUGGUGGUGAUGCAGAGUGCCUUCCCUUGAUGUUCACGGAGAAUUGGAAAAGUUUCUUCUUGUCUCCCCUCACACAGCUGGUGAUCAAUGCUUAGCAUAUCCCAGUAAAAGAGUGUGCUCUGAGGCCCUUGAAUCACAGAUCCAAAUGGUGAGCCUUAGACAAACGGCAAUACUAUUUUUCAAAGUGGCCAAAUAAGCUAUUGUCAAGAGUGUAUACUAUAGGAAAAACGUGAGCGAUGGGGAUGAUGAUCAAUCUAGAGUGAAUGUAAACAAAGCUGAAGUGGCUCUUAGGGCUUUGGCAUGUCUACUCAGACUAGCAUUUCUCCUGCUUGGAUUCAAAUUCCCAUGUGCAUUCAAGUGCACAGAAGCCAAAACCGAUUUGGGUAGAGAAGGGCACAGAAGAGGAGAUGGAAUGUCCUCAUUUGCUUACAUAUUAGUCAAUUGACUAAACAACUGAAGUUGUUCAGGUUAGCAUGAAUUAAUUUCUUUUUUUUUUAGUAUUUUAUUUAUUUAUUUGAGAGGUAGAGUUACAGACAGUGAGAGGGAGAGAUAGAGAGAAAGGUCUUCCGUCCGUUGGUUCACUCCCCAAAUGGCUGCAAUGGCCAGAGCUGCACCGAUCUGAAGCCAGGAGCUUCUUCCAGGUCACCUACAUGGGUGCAGGGGCCCACGGACCUGAGCCAUCUUCUCACUGCUUUCCCAGGCCAUAAGCAGAGAGCUGGAUUGGAAGAGGAACAGCUGGGACUCAAACUGGAGAAUUAACCUACUGCACCACCGUGCUGGCCCCCCUGAAUUAAUUUCUGAUCCUUGUGAGUUGACCAAUAUUGGGUACUGUCGGAAUGUCAGAUGUUGUCCUGUUGCCAGCAUGUUCCUGGUGAAAAUAGUGCCACAUGAGCAGGUCAGCAGUCUGCCUGGGAAGCAGAGCUUUUCUGUUCAUUAGGGUCUGAAUUGCAGUGACACCAGAGUCAGCAAUCUGAAUCUUGAAAUUGACAGAUAUUUAACCAGAACGUUCCCUAGAGAAUAGCAGCUUGUUAAGAAGGGUGGACUCAUAACUCUUUCAGGGAUAAUAAGCUUGUUAUUUACACUUUCUGGUUGGAGUGAACUUCAGUUCAUCAUUGCCAUUUGUCCCAUGGAGACAACAGUAGGAAGUUAAUGUCUAAACCAAACACAGUUAGGAUGUGGCUGACCUCAUUGGAAUGAAUGAAGAAUGGGAACACACAGUUACAUUGUGGCAGUUUGGAAAUUUUCGACAUAUUAAACAAAACUACAUUAUAGUGGUGGGUUUAGUUUGUUAAACAAAAAGGGAAAUCGUUUCAUAUGAAUGAAAAUCAUGACUUGCCUCUUCAAGUGUUUUUGCACCUAAUUACAUAAACGGUUAGUAUCUUCCUCUUUGCUUACCUAAUCACCAGAUAGGUUUGAUAAGGUGCUCAUUGGAGUGCUACUGCACUUAGCAGGGUCUUCUCCCUGCAUUGAUCAUUUAUGAGACCAAGCAUGUUCAAAUGUGGAAAUGAAGCACAAAUAGGGUUUAGGUGUUUUUUGUUUUUUGUUUUUUUAAUUUUUUACAGGCAGAGUAGACAGUGAGAGAGAGAGAGACAUUGAGAAAGGUCUUCCUUUUGCUGUUGGUUCACCCUCCAAUGGCCGCUGCGGCCGGCGCGCUGUGGCCGGCGCAUCACGCUGAUCCUAAGGCAGGAGCCAGGUGCUUCUCCUGGCCUCCCAUGCUGGUGCAGGGCCCAAGCACUUGGGCCAUCCUCCACUGCACUCCCGGGCCACAGCAGAGAGCUGGCCUGGAAGAGGGGCAGCCGGAACAGAAUCCAGUGCCCCGACCGGGACUAGAACCCGGUGUGCUGGCGCCGCAAGGUGGAGGAUUAGCCUAUUGAGCCAAGGCGCCGGCCAGGGUUUUCGUUUUUUAAUCCGAAUGGCAGGGAGACAGAAAGAGAUGGAAAGUGGGAGCCAGAGCUACAGUGAGAGAGCCAGAGUGAGAGAGAGAGAGAGGGAGAGAGCGAGAGAGCGAGAGAGACUUUCCAUCCACUAGUUCAACUUCUAAAUGUCUGCCAAGGACAGAGCUGGGGCCAGGAGCCAGGAACUCAGCCCAUGUCUCCUACGUGGGUGGCAAGAGAGCAGCUAUCUGAGCCAUCAUUGCUGCCUCCCAGAAUCUACACUGGUGGAAAGCUACAGUCAGGAGCCAGAGUUGGGAACUGAACCCGGCACUCACCGAAUGCAGCAGUGUUAACUGCUAGACCAAACACCCACUCUUUCAACACAUGCAGCUUUAAUUAAUUCUCAUAGUGAAGAAGCACUAUAUAUUACAGAUGUGUGAUAAUUUAAUUAUUUCUUACCUUAUCGAUGCAUAUAUACUUCUUGAAAAAACCUCCAUUGGUAAAGAACAGCCUGACAGGUCUGCUUUUAUGUUUUUGUGGGUUAGAUUUUUAAUUCGUUUACCCCUCCAAGAAUAUGCGAAACAAUUUGAAAUUUAGAGAAAGUUGCAAAUCCAAGGAACAUAGAGGAGGUUCUGAAAUAGCAUCACUAUUUCCCAAAUACUCUGACUAUUUGCUACAGAUAAAGUCAUUCUCCUUAUCUAACCAAAUGCAACUAUUGGUAUCAAGAAAUUAACAUUGAAUCACACAACUGAUAUUAAUAAAUAGUACUAUGAUACUAUCUAAUCUUGAUUCAAACUUUGCCAGAUGUCAUAAUAACUUUCCUUCUUAGCAAAGAGAUCCAGUUGCAAAUUACAUUCAGAAUUUAGUUAUGUUUUUUCACCCUUAUUCAUUUUUGAAAGAGUUCCUAAGUCAUUUCUUGAUAUUCAUAAAGAUUUCAGUUCCAUUAAUCAGACCAAGGUUCUGAACAAGCUCAGCAAUAUUGGAUGUUUGUAGGUAAAGUUAUUUUUUCCAUAAAUGAAUAUAAAGUGAUGCCUGUGUUG